UGGAAAUUGUGCCUAAUUAUCCAACAGGCUCUCCUGGCCCUCCUCCUCGUCGCCUCGUGCCGGGACCUCGCCGCCGUGCCGGCAGCAGCCCAAGCUGCUGAUGGCGCCGCCGCGGCUGCUACCGACGACAACGCGCAGGCACAGAUCAAGCCGACGGGGUAUGUGGGCGGUGCGUGCAUCAUUGUGUGCAGGUAUUGCAAGCUCCCGGGCGGCGACUGCUUCAGUUGCAACUGUGGUCAUUGAUGAAGUAAUGUUUAGAUCCGAACUCUCCAGGAGUUGUUUUUCAAUAAAGUAGUAUAAGAUCUGCGUCUUUAGUGAACUAAUGUACUAAGAUCUGGUCGUCGUACUUGGCACUUUCAAGUAAUAAGUAAGGUAAAUGUAAGAUCUGCUUCUUGUACUUGGCAUGUUUGGUGCAGAAUAUUUUCUUCUAGGCAUAAAUAAAUCUGCCAGCGCGCCUGAAAUCUC